UACGUAGGGUGCAGGCGUUAAUCGGAAUUACUGGGCGUAAAGCGUGCGCAGGCGGUCUUUUAAGUCAGAUGUGAAAUCCCCGGGCUUAACCUGGGAAUGGCAUUUGGGACUGCAAGGCUGGAGUGCGGCAGAGGAGACUGGAAUUCCUGGUGUAGCAGUGAAAUGCGUAGAUAUGCGGAGGAACACCGAUGGCGAAGGCAAUCCCCUGGGCCUGCACUGACGCUCAUGCACGAAAGCGUGGGGAGCAAACAGG
rnacentral:rRNA from 1 species